GGAACUCGACCUGGCCCGUCAUCUGCUCUCUGUGUAAAUUACUCCAUAUCCCUGGCCUCACCUGAUUCUCUGUAAAACUUGAAUUAUUUGACUCGGCUGCUGUGGAGAGUAAACAGUAAUGUAUAUGCACCCCGUGUGUUCAGCUGAACCACAGCACAUUGCCCCCAGGUGACUGUUUUUGUCUUGCAGGGACAGCAGUGUCACGCUGUUCAGUUUCCUCGUCCUCAUUCAAUCAUCAGUAGUUACCGGAUUACCUUAAAGAUGGGUGCCGUUGCUGUCACUGAAAGUAGCUCACAGGGAGUGGACCAAGUGCUUUCACACACGGAUUGUUUUAUUGACCCCGCCAGAACGCUGGGUGUGGAGCCUUUUACGACCCUUGGAGAGGCGCGACCAUUGCGUGAGAUGGACUCGUCCCGGCGGUGAGGGCAGCACUGGGAGGAGAACCCAGGUGUUUCGACCUGAGACUUUUGAAAGCUCUGAAGCAGGCGGGUGGCAGAAACUUGAGGCUCCUCUCGGGGUAAGAAAAGGUGGUCCUUAAAGACAGUAGCGAGCCCACCGGAAAGGGAGGGAGAGGAGUUAACCAUUCUGCUUCCUUCAAAGAUCCGCUCUCGCCCCCAUCCAUCCUCUCAUCCGUGGGACCUCCGUGGCAAAACACGACGCAAAACAUACAAAUUUACACAUACCCAGUAUCAGGGUGCCCAGUGUGGGCAGAGUUAAGUCAAGAGGAUAUGCCAGGAAGUGAGGGGCUGGGCCGCAGCCAAGCCAAGGGUGGGCGGGCGUUUAGGCUGAGACAGGAAAGCCGAGUAGAAACCACGUACUGACCAGUGUUCAGUCCAGAAAGAGAACAAGCUUGGCAAGAAAAGGAGGCCAGGAGGAUGGAGAGGAACAAGGGAGGGCGAGAUCCGAGGUGAGAAGUAGGGCUGGGGCCCCAGCAGUCAGGGUUUUGAGGGCAUAGGGAGAAGUUUGCUAUUAUCUAUGAACGUCAAGGAAGGUCACGGAGGGUUUUAAAUGAGGACUGUAGUUACAUUUCAUGCAUAUGGUUUUCCUUUCACUGCCGCACCUGUGCCAUAGGAAAGUUCCCCGAGUUGGGGUUCUAACCAGAGCUGCAGCUGCAGCCUCUGCCACAGCCACGGCAACGCCGGAUCCCAGGGGCCUCUGAGACGUACGCCAGAGCUAGUGGACAACGUAAGAGCUGCAACCCACUGAGCAAGGCCAGGGUGCCAAACCUGCAAACUCACAGGGCAACAGCUGGGUCCUUCACCCACUGAGCGGAGGGGAAUAACUCAUUUUUAUAUUUUCCUUUACAACUUUAAAAGGGCCUCUGGCCAAACAGGACUUUCGGUGGCGCGUAAACUACGCAGGAGCAACAAAAGCCGGUAACUUUCUAGCUGACUUUUUCCCAUUCCGAGCCU
rnacentral:lncRNA from 1 species